rnacentral:lncRNA from 1 species
GGGGAAUUCAGGAAUCAGUGAAGAGGUGGACACUUCCCAUCUCAAAAAGCUGACUCGUCUUCUUCCCACCAGGGGACCCCCAGCCCUCAGCUGGUGGGGGCAGGUCACAGAUAAGUCGUACAGACCCCCGACCUUCCUGCCUGCUCAAAGGCUCAGAGAGACAUGAACCCCAGUCAUCAGAACGCCACUCCCAGACCCUGGAUGAGGACUAGCGAGUUUGGGGAGGGUCUUGCCCCUUGGGGAAAUUGAAUCUUGGGGAAGGGGUGGUUAGAAGGGCCUGAGUCAGCAAUCUGAAAACCUCACGUGUGCCCACCCCAGCCUGGGGGCGGGCUGGGGAGAAGGAGGGAGCUGAAACAGAAAGAGAGAUGGAGAGACGGAGAAUGAAAGCAGGAGAGAGAGAAACUGAGACAAUGGACAGUCAGAAAGAGAGCAGCGGGCAGAACCGGGGGCGGGGCAGGGCACGGGAAGCAGGGAGAACCGCGGUAAUGGGGGUGCGGGCAGAAGGGGUCACAGGAAUGGUCAUCUUUUCCCUUUCAUCACUAGCAUCACAGAUGCACAAAGGUCAGCGCUGAAAUAAUCCCACUCUCACAAAGGAGGCUUAGUGACAGUCACCAAAAGGGAAAACCAACCUAGGGUAGGACCCACCCUCCUGUCUCCCAGUCUGGGCUCAUUUCCUAAGCCCCGAGGGAACGGGAGGACCAGGCUGCUGGGAUGUUGAGGCACAGCGGGGCAGUCCCAGCAUUCUCUGCUUAACCACCUGCCAGUCUGGGAGGGAAUAGGAUGCCGAGGCAAGCAAGGGGCUCUCUGAUCCCUCAGGUCCCAGGACACCUCUGGCAGAGAGGAAGCCUCCCUCUCCUCGGCCCAUCACGUUCGCCAUCUCCCACCUCCAAGCUGGGGCUGCCGCAUCAUUCCUUACCUUCUUUGGGACAGAAGUAAAUUCAAUGCACAAAGAUCAAGCACCAAAAGUGUUUGUGGGGGUCUGCGUGGUAGACACUGGGACAGGGGAGAAAUAUGUCAAAUAGCACAUAUUUCUUUCUCCGAGGAUCUCACAAGGGAUUGGUCUGACCCUCGGGAACAACCUGCAGGCUGCCCAUGGGAGGCAGCGCAGACUGGAGCCAUCUCAACAGUACCCUCACGGCCUCUGCAGACGGCGUUAGCUCUCAAAAGGCACUUGGGCAGCCUGGGGCACAGACAUCAGUGCCAAGAAUUUCUCUGGAGUCAACAUAGAGAAAUUAGGGGAGGGGCAAGGAUGGCACAGGGUGCAAGAGAAUCACACACGUUUUCCCCACACUGUCUGGCCUCUGCCCCUGGACACCUGGUCCCACCC